UCUUAGUGAACAGAAGCUUCAGAAAAGAAUGUUGCGACUGCUAGAUGGUGUUGCGGGUGAUGAUCAUGAUAUGAAAAUGGAGGGGACGAAGAAUCAAUUGAAGAAGAGUGUGUGGGCAAUAAACGGAUACGGAGGAAACUUGAAGACCUUAAAACUCUCCAUUUGAAAGAGGGGAUUUGCAAAUUCUAAGCCUUGGUUAAUCUACAUGCAUUAACACUACUGCAUGAUGAAGAAAGACUGCAGUCUUAACCAGUGGACUAUGUUGCGUGUGAAAGGAAAGAUUGUCAAAGACUGAUAAUUUCCAAGAUGAGAGAUUUAUAUGGCCGGAAGGCUAUACUGCCAUGAGGAAGUUUCAUUCAACAACAGAUCCAAGUGCAUGUACCUUAUAUAAGAU